UGUUAGAAGAUGCCGAUAGGGGCGACU
rnacentral:sRNA from 1 species